CUGCGAGUUCGCGGGAGAGUAAGUUAUUGCCAGGGUUUUUAUUUUAUACUUUAAACAUUGAUUUUAUUUUUUAUGUUUUUAGAUGUUCAUGUUUUUGAAUGUUUUAUUUAAAUAAUAUAAAAAAUAAAAUAUAUAUAUUGACAUGGAUUAAACAAAGAUAUAUAUUAUUCUGUGUUGCAUAAACAAAUUGGCAAAAUAGAGAUGGAAGAUAAAAAUAUGGUCAAAGUAAUAAGAGUCUAUGGUGAAUGCCUAGGA
rnacentral:misc_RNA from 1 species